UACGGGGGGGGCAAGCGUUGUUCGGAAUUACUGGGCGUAAAGGGCUCGUAGGUGGCCAACUAAGUCAGACGUGAAAUCCCUCGGCUUAACCGGGGAACUGCGUCUGAUACUGGAUGGCUUGAGUUCGGGAGAGGGAUGCGGAAUUCCAGGUGUAGCGGUGAAAUGCGUAGAUAUCCACAGGAACUCCGGUGGCGAAGGCGGCACGCUGGACCCCUUCUGACGCUGAGGCGCGAAAGCCAGGGGAGCGAACGGG
rnacentral:rRNA from 1 species